GAUCAUGAAAUGACCAAAAAAGCUAAAUGAGGAUGGUGUAACGAGUAUUUGAAUCACCAUCUUUCCACCACAGCACCAAUUUGCUCACUUUAUAGUUAUGAUACAAUUAAUCCUGUCUAUAACUGUUAUUAUGCUGUAUAUAUCAGUUCUCUAUGUAAGGUUAUACUUUUAACUUACAUAAACAGUAAUGAAGUACAAUAGGUGGGCAGAAUACUCAAGAAGUUAUCAUUGGCUUCACCAAAUCUAUUUUGUUAAUAGUCAUCAUACCAUAAUUUUGUAUGUCACAUCACCACAAGCAAUUACAUAAAAUCAUAUUAUGGGAAAUGAUUUAUACAUUAUCACUGAAAAUUAUUUUUGUUUCAUCAAAACAAUAUUUUUCAUAAAUUUAAAUAAAACCAGCAUUUCUCUCUUAACAUGAACUCAACUACAGAAAAAUGUUUGCCAAUGAAUUUAAUGUAUAUGUAAAUGACAGAUUCUGCUGCUAUGAUUUUCACUUUUGUAGGAAAACUUAAGCUAUAAGCCGAGUGAAAGUCAAAUUAUAGUUUAAUGUUUUUCUUUAAGUGAUUAACAUUAUCAUCAACAUCGGUUCAAGUUCUCUUCACGCUAUUGUUGGUGUUACAUACAAAGGAUAUAUAAAAUUCUGAAAAGUUUGCAACAUGUAAAUUUCAAGCUGCCAGAGCCUUUUCAUUAGAAUGAAAACAAGCUCUAGCCCUCUAUUUCUAUUGUUGCAGAUAUAAGUGAAAGUGGGAUAAUAUCUUAUCUGGCUCUUCCAACAACCAAUACUACAAUUUCCUCAAGCUUCCCAUUGCCAAAACACCUCUGUGGGCAGGAAUAAUGCUCUACUGAAACAUAAUUUUUUAAAAUAUGCAAGGAAUGUCCAAAGUGAACAACUAAUGAUCUCAGAAAAUAAAGGAAACAAGAGUUUCAAACAAAAUACCUUUACUGACCUUCAAAGUAAUCACCAUUAGCUACAACACACUUCUGACAUCAGUUUUAAUAUCGUUGGAAACUGUUACCAAAUGUGUCUGCCCACUUAGCUGAGUGGUAAUGGCUUGCCUAUCAUGCAGUGGGCUCAGGUUUGAUUCCUGGCCAGAUUGGAGAUUUUCUCUGCUUGUGGACUGGGUAUUGUGGUGUCUUCAUCACCACCGAUGCGCAAGGCACUCAGUGUGGUGUCACCUCAAAUUGCACCCAACUGCCAAACUUUCCCAAAUGGCGCUCCCAGCCAUCAAUGUCACACGCUCAUUUCAUUUUUUGUUACCAAUUGUUAGCUAUCUGCAUGCUUACCUAUGUCACCCAUGGAAGGUAACUAUUUUUCAACACUCUCCUUAUUCUCCAUUUGGCACCAGCAGACUUCUUUUUGUUUUCCCGACUAAAAUUAGCCCUGAAAGGUUUAUGCUUUAGAGACAUUGCACAAGAGCAUAAGGGUUUCAGGGCUAGUUUAAGGUAGAGAAGCAAACAGAAGUCUACUGGCAUCAAAUAUAGAGGAUAAAGAAAGUGUUAGUGAACAGUCUAACAGAACGUGACCAUGAUGCUUCGAGCAAUUCUGCAAGAUGCCAUUUGUUGACAGUUUCAAACAGCUUUACAA